rnacentral:rRNA from 1 species
AUUAUGGCUCAGGAUGAACGCUAGCUACAGGCUUAACACAUGCAAGUCGAGGGGAAACGAUAUUGGAAGCUUGCUUCCGAUGGGCGUCGACCGGCGCACGGGUGAGUAACGCGUAUCCAACCUACCCACCACUUGGGGAUAACCUUGCGAAAGUAAGACUAAUACCCAAUGAUAUCUCUAGAAGACGUCUGAAAGAGAUUAAAGAUUUAUCGGUGAUGGAUGGGGAUGCGUCUGAUUAGCUUGUUGGCGGGGUAACGGCCCACCAAGGCUACGAUCAGUAGGGGUUCUGAGAGGAAGGUCCCCCACAUUGGAACUGAGACACGGUCCAAACUCCUACGGGAGGCAGCAGUGAGGAAUAUUGGUCAAUGGACGAGAGUCUGAACCAGCCAAGUAGCGUGCAGGAUGACGGCCCUAUGGGUUGUAAACUGCUUUUAUAAGGGAAUAAAGUGAGUCUCGUGAGACUCUUUGCAUGUACCUUAUGAAUAAGGACCGGCUAAUUCCGUGCCAGUAGCCGCGGUAAUACGGAAGGUCCGGGCGUUAUCCGGAUUUAUUGGGUUUAAAGGGAGCGUAGGCCGGAGAUUAAGCGUGUUGUGAAAUGUAGAUGCUCAACAUCUGCACUGCAGCGCGAACUGGUUUCCUUGAGUACGCACAAAGUGGGCGGAAUUCGUGGUGUAGCGGUGAAAUGCUUAGAUAUCACGAAGAACUCCGAUUGCGAAGGCAGCUCACUGGAGCGCAACUGACGCUGAAGCUCGAAAGUGCGGGUAUCGAACAGGAUUAGAUACCCUGGUAGUCCGCACGGUAAACGAUGGAUGCCCGCUGUUGGUCUGAAUAGGUCAGCGGCCAAGCGAAAGCAUUAAGCAUCCUACCUGGGGAGUACGCCGGCAACGGUGCAACUCAAAGGAAUUGACGGA